rnacentral:rRNA from 1 species
GACGAACGCUGGCGGCGUGCUUAACACAUGCAAGUCGAACGGAAAGGCCCUGCUUUUGUGGGGUGCUCGAGUGGCGAACGGGUGAGUAACACGUGAGUAACCUGCCCUUGACUUUGGGAUAACUUCAGGAAACUGGGGCUAAUACCGGAUAGGAGCUCCUGCUGCAUGGUGGGGGUUGGAAAGUUUCGGCGGUUGGGGAUGGACUCGCGGCUUAUCAGCUUGUUGGUGGGGUAGUGGCUUACCAAGGCUUUGACGGGUAGCCGGCCUGAGAGGGUGACCGGCCACAUUGGGACUGAGAUACGGCCCAGACUCCUACGGGAGGCAGCAGUGGGGAAUAUUGCACAAUGGGCGGAAGCCUGAUGCAGCAACGCCGCGUGCGGGAUGACGGCCUUCGGGUUGUAAACCGCUUUCGCCUGUGACGAAGCGUGAGUGACGGUAAUGGGUAAAGAAGCACCGGCUAACUACGUGCCAGUAGCCGCGGUGAUACGUAGGGUGCGAGCGUUGUCCGGAUUUAUUGGGCGUAAAGGGCUCGUAGGUGGUUGAUCGCGUCGGAAGUGUAAUCUUGGGGCUUAACCCUGAGCGUGCUUUCGAUACGGGUUGACUUGAGGAAGGUAGGGGAGAAUGGAAUUCCUGGUGGAGCGGUGGAAUGCGCAGAUAUCAGGAGGAACACCAGUGGCGAAGGCGGUUCUCUGGGCCUUUCCUGACGCUGAGGAGCGAAAGCGUGGGGAGCGAACAGGCUUAGAUACCCUGGUAGUCCACGCUGUAAACGGUGGGUACUAGGUGUGGGGUCCAUUCCACGGGUUCCGUGCCGUAGCUAACGCUUUAAGUACCCCGCCUGGGGAGUACGGCCGCAAGGCUAAAACUCAAAGGAAUUGACGGGGCCCCGCACAAGCGGCGGAGCAUGCGGAUUAAUUCGAUGCAACGCGUAGAACCUUACCUGGGUUUGACAUGGAUCGGGAGUGCUCAGAGAUGGGUGUGCCUCUUUUGGGGUCGGUUCACAGGUGGUGCAUGGCUGUCGUCAGCUCGUGUCGUGAGAUGUUGGGUUAAGUCCCGCAACGAGCGCAACCCUUGUUCACUGUUGCCAGCAUGUUAUGGUGGGGACUCAGUGGAGACCGCCGGGGUCAACUCGGAGGAAGGUGGGGAUGACGUCAAGUCAUCAUGCCCCUUAUGUCCAGGGCUUCACGCAUGCUACAAUGGCUGGUACAGAGAGUGGCGAGCCUGUGAGGGUGAGCGAAUCUCGGAAAGCCGGUCUCAGUUCGGAUUGGGGUCUGCAACUCGACCUCAUGAAGUCGGAGUCGCUAGUAAUCGCAGAUCAGCAACGCUGCGGUGAAUACGUUCCCGGG